GACGAACCGUCCUAACGUUGUUCGGAAUCACUGGGCUUAAAGGGCGCGUAGGCGGGUUCCCAAGUCGGUGGUGAAAUCUUUCGGCCCAACCGGAAAACAGCCGCCGAUACUGGGAGUCUUGAGGGAGGUAGGGGUCGAUGGAACUUCCGGUGGAGCGGUGAAAUGCGUAGAUAUCGGAAGGAACGCCGGUGGCGAAAGCGAUCGACUGGACCUUUUCUGACGCUGAGGCGCGAAAUCCAGGGGAGCAAACGGG
rnacentral:rRNA from 1 species